rnacentral:rRNA from 1 species
GACGAACGCUGGCGGCGUGCUUAACACAUGCAAGUCGAACGGAAAGGCCCUGCUUUUGUGGGGUGCUCGAGUGGCGAACGGGUGAGUAACACGUGAGUAACCUGCCCUUGACUUUGGGAUAACUUCAGGAAACUGGGGCUAAUACCGGAUAGGAGCUCCUGCUGCAUGGUGUGGGUUGGAAAGUUUCGGCGGUUGGGGAUGGACUCGCGGCUUAUCAGCUUGUUGGUGGGGUAGUGGCUUACCAAGGCUUUGACGGGUAGCCGGCCUGAGAGGGUGACCGGCCACAGUGGGACUGAGAUACGGCUCAGACUCCUACGGGAGGCAGCAGUGGGGAAUAUUGCACAAUGGGCGGAAGCCUGAUGCAGCAACGCCGCGUGCGGGAUGACGGCCUUCGGGUUGUAAACCGCUUUCGCCUGUGACGAAGCGUGAGUGACGGUAAUGGGUAAAGAAGCACCGGCUAACUACGUG